rnacentral:lncRNA from 1 species
CUCGUUUCUCUUUUUUUGGAGAUCUAUGGGAAAGAAGAGCAUUUGAGGAAAAUGGAGGAAUUUUUUGGAUAUAAUAAUAAAAAAAAUUAUAAUAUUUUUUCUUCUUUACAUCCAAUCAAGAAGGUAAGAAAUUAUUAUUUUUUCUUCCUUUAAACUCUUAAUUGAAAGAAUCGAAAUAUAUUUUAUUUUUUUUUCUCUCUUUAUUAUUC